GACGAACGCUGGCGGCGUGCCUAAUACAUGCAAGUAGAACGCUGAAGGAGGAGCUUGCUUCUCUGGAUGAGUUGCGAACGGGUGAGUAACGCGUAGGUAACCUGCCUGGUAGCGGGGGAUAACUAUUGGAAACGAUAGCUAAUACCGCAUAAUAGCAGUUGUUGCAUGACAACUGUUUGAAAGGUGCAAUUGCACCACUACCAGAUGGACCUGCGUUGUAUUAGCUAGUUGGUGGGGUAACGGCUCACCAAGGCGACGAUACAUAGCCGACCUGAGAGGGUGAGCGGCCACACUGGGACUGAGACACGGCCCAGAAUCCUACGGGAGGCAGCAGUAGGGAAUCUUCGGCAAUGGACGGAAGUCUGACCGAGCAACGCCGCGUGAGUGAAGAAGGUUUUCGGAUCGUAAAGCUCUGUUGUAAGAGAAGAACGAGUGUGAGAGUGGAAAGUUCACACUGUGACGGUAGCUUACCAGAAAGGGACGGCCAACUACGUG
rnacentral:rRNA from 1 species